UAUUAUCCUUAAUGUCAUUCAGACACGGCAGAAAAGUUUGCCAAUAUCACCGUUGAAAGUGCAUGGGGACUUGUACUCUCUGGUCUUUUCAACACGGCUUUGAUAUGUCUCCUUCCAGAAUGAAGUGUCCAUGUUGAAAAAUGAGGUGGCACAGCUGAAACAGUUGUUGUUAACGCAUAAAGACUGUCCAAUAACAGCCAUGCAGAAAGAAUCACAAGGAUAUCUAAGUCCGGAGAGCAGCCCUCCUGCCAGUCCCGUCCCAGCUUGCUCUCAGCAGCAGGUCAUCCAACAUAAUACCAUCACCACUUCCUCUGCAGUGAGCGAGGUGGUGGGAAGUUCCACCCUCAGUCAGCUUACCACUCACAGAACAGACCUGAAUCCCAUCCUUUAAAAUCCGCCGGUGGGUCAGACCUUGCCUCCAAGAAGAGCUGUCGCAUAUCAUGCGUCCUUUCUUUUAAGGGCAUUUUUAGAAUUAACUCAGACCUGGAAGACUCCUCAGCCCUUCAGAGACUGGCUUUCAUUUUUAUAGUUAUUAUGGAAAUGUUGUCUUUUAUACUUAGUUAUAUAAGAAAAAAAGGGAGUUAUGCAAUUAAUUAAUCUAUCAGCUUGGGAAAUGCUUUGGUGCUUUUCUCCAAUUUUCUGGUACCAGUUAACUUGUUUAUAAACUGAACUCUUUCUGUAUAUAGACACGGUUUCAUUCUUACCAGUCCAGCCCUUUGCCUGAAACAUUGAAUCUUGUUAAACCGCAGCUUUUAGCCAAAAUGAGGCAUACCUAGAUGUCACGUAAACAUAUGCAAGGUAACUGGGUGGUGAGUCUGAUGACAUCGUAACACACGUUGAGUUUGCGCUGUGAUGUCGCCAGAGUUCCAGAUAAACACAGAGCCUUUUCCAUAUUUUUUUCUCUUCCUAAAAAAAUUAUAAGAUCUGCUGAUGUCCAAAUAAAACCACCGAGCAUUUCGCCCCCUCUCCUCCUCCUCUUGGUCCACUUCCUCGAUUUGUCCUCUAAUUUCCUCCAGUCUUCCUUUCCAUUGCCACUUUUCCCUGGGCUCCCUGUGUAUUCUUCAUUUUUACUUUCUUCUGUUUUAUUUUUCCCCCUUUAGCAUUGCAGAUAAAGAAGAAAAUAAUGCUUAAA